UACGUAGGGGGCAAGCGUUGUCCGGAUUUAUUGGGCGUAAAGAGCGUGUAGGCGGCCAAGCAGGUCCGCUGUGAAAACUCGAGGCUCAACCUCGAGACGUCGGUGGAAACCGUUUGGCUAGAGUCCGGAAGAGGAGAGUGGAAUUCCCGGUGUAGCGGUGAAAUGCGCAGAUAUCGGGAAGAACACCCGUGGCGAAGGCGGCUCUCUGGGACGGUACUGACGCCUGAGACGCGAAAGCGUGGGGAGCGAACAGG
rnacentral:rRNA from 1 species